UUGUCUUAGAAUGUGUUAUAAAACGUCAUAAGUCAUAACUCAGGUUGUAGAGUUUUCGAUUUGGGUCAUAGAUUACUAAUUGAAAGUGGCAGUUUUUCCUUGCUUUGAGUUUGACGUGCACAAUUGUGCAAGGUUUUUCUAUUGAUUACUCAUCUUUUAAACUUGCAAGUAUUAAUGAAAGAAUUUGAGUAUGAAUUAGAUACACUCCCCUUAAGUUUGGUGGAAUUAGAAAGCAUUUGAGCUGACUUUUAACUCCAUAAAACUUUAUUCAAUCUUAGACUUUUCAAAGUCAUGUACUUUUUAUACAAGUAGAAAUCCAGCCUUUCCUAUAUUAUAUAUGUUUGCAAGCUCUUUCAAUCUUUAUAUGCAGGGUAAUCACUCAAUUAGAAAUCCAGCCUUUCUCUUAAAAUUUUCCAAGCUUUCUCACUCACUGCACAACUUCUCCAGCCUUGUUGAAUUAAACCACAACUAGGCCACCUACCAUGGUGUUUCAUGUUUGAGAUGAAGCCACGUUCAUUGCGUGCCUCUAUAUGCAUUUUCUUGGUUAAAAGAGUCAAAGAAAAUAGUGCUUUAAAGAGUCAAAAAAAGCAGCAUGAACAGAAAAUAAUGCUCAAAGGAGUUGUUAGAUUGUAGGGGAAAACAAAGUGAUUUUAUUAAUUUGAGGAGAACAGUACAUGGUUUUGUGUAGGCUAAUUGGCCUCCUUAGCAUAUUGGCUUAUUGGCCACCACACUGGAUUUGAUUAGUUUGGGCUACUUGGCCCUACACUUGGAUUAGUGAGCUUAUUGACUCUCAAAACAUAGCUUUGUUUGGGUAGCUCAUGGCUCCCUUAUGGGAGUUCUUUUUGUUAGACUCCUCAUAUGACUUGGGUUGGGUAGUUUUUUUGCUCC
rnacentral:lncRNA from 1 species